UACGUAGGGGGCGAGCGUUGUCCGGAAUCAUUGGGCGUAAAGAGCGUGUAGGCGGUCCGGUAAGUCCGCUGUGAAAGUCGGGGGCUCAACCCUCGAAUGCCGGUGGAUACUGUCGGGCUAGAGUGCGGAAGAGGCGAGUGGAAUUCCUGGUGUAGCGGUGAAAUGCGCAGAUAUCAGGAGGAACACCGGUGGCGAAGGCGGGUCUCUGGGCCGAUACUGACGCUGAGGAGCGAAAGCGUGGGGAGCAAACAGG
rnacentral:rRNA from 1 species